rnacentral:lncRNA from 1 species
AGAAUACACCCACAAUUCACAAAACUUGUUUCUCAUCUACUUGUCUUGCUAUUCAGUUUUAACAUCUGAAGCAAUUAAUUCAUCCAUUUCAAUUAUCGCUCCUUUGAGGUUUAUCAGAGACAAAAGAUCCCUGAAAAAGAAAGUUCACCAAAAUCUCUUUCAAAUAUUUAUCUUUAUAAAAAAAAAAAAAAAAGUUAAUUUCAGUUUUACCAUGUCAGCGGGUGCUGGGGUCCACUCAUUAGUGGCUGGAUUCCCCUUACAUGAAGCAUGAUGGGCAUUUUCAGAUUCAGAGCCUAACUCAAAGCCAGCCUUAUUUGUGUCAUCUACUUUGAUGAACCCCGUUCCUGUCUGCAACAUCAACAAUCAUAAUUUUGUAAACUUUUAUGAAAAAACACAACAAAAAAGAGGCAAAUAUGGUGUUUUUUUAUGCGUUUUCUUUUAUUAUCGUAUUGUACCCAUUGUAAUCUAUAAUUAUUCCUUAUUAGGGCAUUGUGCUUUAGAAAAAUUACCUAUUGUACUAGUCAUUCCAUUAUAUAUUUUGCUUGCUGACAUGGCAAAUCUGAUGUGGAUACGAUUAUAUUGACAUGAAAAACCUGGUUUAAAAUUUCUUUAAGAGCUUAUGUGCAUCCAAUGUGGACAAUGACAUUACAAUAGAACCUUUUAACACAUGUCAUCAUAGGUAACAAGAGCAAAAGUAGAAAAAUAAAACUUGCAAAGUUACAAUUUUAAGGCGAAAAAAGUGAUGUAAUGGUAAAAUCGUAUUUUUUUUGAAAAACUAAAGGGUUUUUAUGUCAGUAUCCUUUUUUUUGUACACAUAUAACCAUUAAACUUUUUUUUGUUCACAUAUGACCAUUAAACUUAAUGGUCAUACAUGUACAAAAAAUAUAUAUAUAAUUGACUAAAUGUGUCUAACGUGAUAAAGUUUAUUACUCUUAUAAAGCAUUAACCCAAAAUUUUAUAUGUCAUGAUACUAAGAAAAUUUUAUACUAAGAAUAAUUUGAAAUAAUAAAAAAUAAAGUUCAAUGUUAUGAUAAGAAUAAAAUAGAAAGUAUGUUGCUUUUUAUUGCAUUUGGCCCUUUUAUUGUUUAUAUAGCGAUAGAUAGCCAAAUAUAACGUUAAAGAAAAGUUAAUGACACAUUUUUAUUAAGAUAAAAAGGGAAAUAUAUUAUAUUAUUAUAAUAUUAUAUACCGUGUGAUGUUGCUUGUCAACACCAUUAAGAUCCUUGUAAUAUUCCGUUUCCACAAACUCAUCACUCACAUCCUUACCUGUAUAAACAAUUUUCUGCAACAACAAAAGAAAAAAUCAUUCGAAGAAGAAGAAAAUUUUCCUUAUUUUGUCAUUAUUAAAUGUUUUUAAAACAUUUUUUGGAUGAAUUUGAAAAACACACCCUAAAAGUGAACCCCUAGUAAUUAUGUAUACACACCUAAAGCCCAAAGGAUAAAGUUUCAACUAUUUGACAAGUCCAGUUGAAUCAGGAGUAUUUUAGACAUUUGGUAAUUAGUCUCUUUAAUUGAACAGAAUGGAAUGAUUAGGGUAAACAAGUUAUUAGAUUGUAUGAUAUUUGGGAAUAAAACGAAAUUGAAUAUGAUAUUUGUAAAUACAAUUUGUAGUUCUUCUAAUUUCUAAUUAUAUCUAUACAAUUGACUAUUUACAAAACUAAAAAGUCAGAACAUAAUAAAAGCUUAUUAUAAUUAAAACUCAAAUAAUAUACAAAACAAAGAACAAACCUCAGAGUUUUGUUCAAGAUGUUGAAACUCUAGAUACUCAGGGCUAACACCAUCAUCUUCAUCGUUGGGCAAACCCAAACCAUCAACAUAUUUCGAGGAAUACUCACUGCGUUGUGGCUUCGUAUGACGCCUGGGAGCUAACCCAUCGAAAUAGUC